CGGGGAGACUCACCAGCCGCAGGGUAGAUCAAGGUGUCGUCUCUCCAGGUGCACAGAGGACGAACAAGCUCCUGGUCUCUGCUUAUAUAGUGGCCAGAGCGUCAUAGGAUUCUAGGACUGUGUCUGGUUAUCUUGAGUGUAUAUAUCUGCGUGUGGGUACGUGACAUGAGUUCAGAGCUCAGAGGCAUCAGAUCCCCUGGAGCUGGAAUCACAGACUGUUCUGAGACACCUGACAUGGAUGCUGGGAACCUAACUUGGCUCCUCGAGAAGAGCAGCAAGUGGUCUUAAUUGCUGAGCCAUCUCUCCAGCCAUAAUGAUGAAGUUUCUAGAACAGUUUAGAACUGUAUUUCUCAGGCAAACCAGAAGCAUCAGCAUCACCUGCAGUGUUUUACCAUAUGGCUAAGCAAGUGAGGCUGUUUAUAUACUUCUGUGACAGAGCAGAUACGGCUUCAAAUAUGGGGACCUCAGAGGAUGUGUUCCUUCAAGACCCUGAGGUUGAGGUAAAACGAUUAAUAAUUGAGAACCGAGAAGAAAGUAAGAACAGUUCCUAAAAGGUAUAAACCCGCUCCCAGCCUGGAGUUCUGGGUGGGAUGGCAGUGAGACCCAGGAGGGUACAGCCAGCUUUCAAUAAAGCCAGACUGUGAAACUUGGCUAAGAGGACAGAGAAAAAUUGAUGUUUGCUCCAGAGUGGGGCUGUCAGCUGUGCUCACCGCCUCACCAGGCUCCCAGCUGUAAACAAAAGUCCUGGCCCUUCAUGGCACUGCAGAGCAGUCCAGGCUGGCGUAAGUCUCUGAGGACAGCUAGACCAUUCUCUCAUCCUGGCUGACAACCAGGAGACAGAAGAAACAAUAGAAGGUAGAGUGGGGGAAGGGGCACAAUUGCAAAGGCGUGAGGAGUAGAGACCAAUUGGGAGGGAGUUGUGUAUUUCAGAUCUUAGAUCUUUUGAUGAAAAUAGUAGAAACAUUUUAGGAAAAGCAGACCCCUUCCCUGUGUAAACCUUCCAGGUAAUAGGGAAUCACAAAGGGGGCUUCAGAGACUCCAGUGUAGCAUCCACUCCUUCAUUAGCAGACAUGCAUGCUCAUCUCCAUGCUAGCUAUUCUGGGUGAUACUAAAGUAAUAGAGGACAGCUUACACAUUCAAGGGUCUCAUAAGGAGUUUAGGGAUAUGUGUGAUGUUGAGCCUUAACACCAAAUAGACUUUGUUUGUUUCUUUGUUUCUGAGACAGGGUUUCAUGUAGCCCAGGCUACCUUUGAACUUGCUAUGUAGCCAAAGGUGGCCUUGUACUCUUGAAUAUCCCUCCUGCCUCAUAUCCACAGUGCUGGGAUUAGAAGCACAUAAUACUGUGCUCGGCAAAUAAUAGACAUUUUAAAAUACUAAGUGACAAACUUGGAAUAGAAUUAUCGAAGCAAUAUAUCUGGCUAUGAUCACAGAAAGUGGGAUUUGAGAGAAGUGCCAUAAGUUAGACAUGAUGGCUAUGACAUAAAGGCAUCUGGUAUUUCAGGCAGAACAACAUUAUUAGUAAAAUUGAGACCUGCUUUGACUGAAGCAAUAGGUUAAUAUGCCACAGACUCUCUUCAUUUCUUACCUCCUUACAUUCCUCAUCAUGGCUAAUCCAGUAUUCAAGUCUCCCUGUAAGUGUCGCUUGCUCACAGUGUUCCUGCCUUAUCUCCAGGACCAAGUUAAGGACCUUGUUUUCUGUUACUAUAGCACCCUCUGCUUUUGCCUUUUCAAGAUACCACCAUUUUCACUUGAUGAACUAAGCAAGUUUCUCUACAUUAUACAAGUCAGGAAGAUUUGUUUGAUUGUUUUUCCCUUUCUUUAGGCAAAAUUUAAAACUGUUCUUUCACUUGCCCUUUUAAAACUGUCUAGCUACUGCUCAGCACUAGAGGGAGAGGCAGGCAGAUCUCUGUGAUUUUCAGUCCGGCAUAGUGACUUACAUAGUGACUUACAGGAUAGCUGGGGCUAUAUAGAAAAAUCCUGUCUCAAAACAAACAACAAAACCCCAUCUUACUCCUGACAUUUUUGUUUCUUUGGAUGUUUCUGUUCCUUUUUCUUUAUUCAGGUUACAAGUCUCUGUUCCAGGAAAGAUUUCUGGGACAUCUUUCCCAGCUUCCACCAUAGAUACAUUGUCCACAAUACCUGCACAUUUACUCCAUUUUUCUACUAGCUAACAACUUAAUCAAAUUUUAUCUCUCCUGCCAUACUGUAGGACCUGUGAGGGCAGGGGAUGCUUUUCUUCACUAUAUAUUGUACUUGGCACAUGACAGAAAGUACUCCAUGAACAUUUGUGAAUGAAUCCAAAGGAAAUGACACAAUAUUGGUAGGUGAAAGCCAAUCUAAAGCUUGAUUUAUAUGUGUGGAAAAAAAUCUUUUAGAAGUUUUCAUUUUUAAGGGGAGAGAUUUUUUUUGCCCACAAGAAACUGUUUUAAUUAUUUUUGAUGAAUUAUUCUACAUAAAUCUUCAUACCACUCUAUUCUUCUGCAAUGUAGCAUGCUUAACUUGUACACAGUGUCAAAUAUACCUUAGAUUUUAGUUGUAUCAUCAACUAUAUGCUAACAUUCAGCACUUUAAAAUUGACCUCGUUGACAUUCUAUGCUGCUUACAGUGAUUUAUUUUUCUCCAUUUUUUAUUUGAAUUAGAAACAAGAUUGUUUUACAUGUCAAUCCCAGUUCCCUCUCCCUCCCCUCCUCCCCUGCCCCCACUAACUAACACCUACC